rnacentral:rRNA from 1 species
CCUACGGGUGGCUGCAGUAGGGGAUCUUGCACAAUGGGCGAAAGCCUGAUGCAGCGACGCCGCGUGAGGGAAGACGGUCUUCGGAUUGUAAACCUCUGUUUUUGGGGAAGAAAAUGAGGGUACCCAAAGAGGAAGCUCCGGCAAACUACGGGCCAGAAGCCGAGGUAAUACGUAGGGACCAAGCGUUGUCCGGAAUUACGGGGGGAAAAGGGAGCGGAGGCGGGAUGGCAAGUAGAAGGUAAAACCCAUCGGUCAAACCGGUGGGUGCGUUCUAAACUGCAGUUCUUGAGUGCAGUAGAGGCAGGUGGAAUUCCUAGUGUAGCGGUGAAAUGCGCAGAUAUUAGGAGGAACACCAGUGGCGAAGGCGACCUGCUGGUCUUUAACUGACGCUGAGGCUCGAAAGCGUGGGGAGCAAACAGGAUUAGAUACCCCGGUAGUC